rnacentral:rRNA from 1 species
AUUGAACGCUGGCGGCAGGCCUAACACAUGCAAGUCGAGCGAGCGGCGGACGGGUGCGUAAUGUAUGGGGACUGCCCGUUAGCGGGGGAUAACUACUGGAAAAGGUAGCUAAUACCGCAUACUAUCGGAUAACCCAGAUGGGAUUAGCUAGUUGGUGAGGUAAUGGCCAACCAAGGCGACGAUCCCUUGCCGGUCUGAGAGGAUGAUCGGCCACACUGGGACUGAGACACGGCCCAGACUCCUACGGAGGCAGCAGUAGGGAAUAUUGCACAAUGGGCGCAAGCCUGAUGCAGCCAUGCCGCGUGUAUGAAGAAGGCCCUAGGGUUGUAAAGUACUUUCAGUCGGGAGGCGUUACCGACAGAAGAAGCACCGGCUAACUCCGUGCCAGCCGCCGCGGUAAUUC